GUGCUAAUUUGAAUAUGCCACUCAACUGUUGCUGUAACACGCACUGAAAUCUACCUGCCACAUAAGGUGACUUAAAAUCUCUGUAACCUUGAUGCAAAAAGGAAUCAUUUUUUAAUUGACUCCUGUGCAAAUUAAAAA